UUGACUGUUUUCUUGCUGACUGUUUUCUUGCUGACUGUUUUCUUGUUGACUAUUAUCUCGCUGACUGUUUUGGUGUUGACUGUUUUGAUGUUGACUGUUUAUGGUUGACUGUUUUCUUGUUGACUGAUUAUGGUUGACGUUUUCUUGCUGACUGUUUUCUUGUUGACUGUUUUCUUGCUGACUGUUUUCUUGUUGACUGUUUUCUUGCUGACUGUUUUCUUGUUGACUGUUUUCUUGUUGACUGUUUUCUUGCUGACUGUUUUCUUGCUGACUGUUUAUGUUUGAGUGUUUUCUUGCUUGUGUCGGCAGUCGUGGCCAAAGGAGGAUUCAGACAAUUUUCCGAACUUUCUGGUUGGUUUCUACUGUCCGAUAUUGUAGCACGCUAACUUUGUUUGGGCUCCUGAACGACACGGGGGAGCAGCGUCUGCCUCACAACCAAUCAGGUUAGAGGAGGUGGAGAACGGCUUUGUUUACAGUCAGAAAGAGCGGACCGCUCAAAAAUGUUCAAAUGUUGACGACACAGACAUAAGAGAACACAGAGAUAUCUAUAUAUUACCAAAUUUCAUCAAUAACUAAUAACUAUUGACUGAUAUUAGAAGAUUUUUUUGUAAAUACACCACAAAAAAAAGAUGCUUCUUUAACGG